CUCAUAAUCUUCUUCUUAUCUUAUGAUAUUUUGAAUUGAUACAACUAACUCUGAUUUCAUUUUGACAAUAGUCAAUAAGCAAGCAUUGUAAAUUUGUAUUCGAGAGGAUUGAGUAAGAGCAGAUUUAAGAUAACAUACCUGGGCUGCUAGCGACGGACCAAGGACGAAGGAGCAGUGGUUGGGGGAUCGAGGCGCGGCGGAAUCCGGUGGUGUUUACUGUGAUUAGAUUUAAUUAGGGCUCUGAAUGCUGAAUUUUGUUUGAGUAGAAUUAGAGAUUCAGAAGGUUAGAAAGUUAACGAUUUUGAAGAAGCCAAAUAGUGUGCAUAAUUUGAAGUG
rnacentral:lncRNA from 1 species